AUCCUAACCGUGCRAAGGUAGCAUAAUCACUUGUCCCCUAAAUAGGGACUAGUAUGAAUGGUCAAAUGAGGACUAAACUGUCUCUUACAUUUAACCAAUAAAACUGAUCUCUCAGUUAAAAAGCUGAGAUAUAAACAUAAGACGAGAAGACCCUGUGGAGCUUCAAACCAACCCAACCCUAAUGGUUCGGWUUUUAGUUGGKGCGACUUCGGAGUACAAAAAAACCUCCGACAAACCAUAUCAAGACCAACACGUCAACAUGCUUAUGACCCGGKACAAAAUAUCCGAUCAAUGAACCAAGUUACCCCAGGGAUAACAGCGCUAUCCCCUUCUAGAGUCCUUA
rnacentral:rRNA from 1 species